GAUGAACGCUAGCGGCAGGCUUAAUACAUGCAAGUCGAGGGGCAGCAUGAUUGUAGCAAUACAAUUGAUGGCGACCGGCAAACGGGUGCGGAACACGUACACAACCUUCCAACAAGUGGGGGAUAGCCCAGAGAAAUUUGGAUUAAUACCCCGUAACAUAGCGAUGUGGCAUCACAUUGCUAUUAUAGAUUUUUCGCUUGUUGAUGGGUGUGCGGCUGAUUAGAUAGUUGGCGGGGUAACGGCCCACCAAGUCUACGAUCAGUAGCUGAUGUGAGAGCAUGAUCAGCCACACAGGCACUGAGACACGGGCCCGACUCCUACGGGAGGCAGCAGUAAGGAAUAUUGGACCAGGGCCGCCAGUCUGAUCCAGCCAUGCCGCGUGAAUGAUUAAGGUCCUCUGGAUUGUAAACUUCUUUUAUAAGGGACGAAAAAAGGCUUUUCUAAGUCGUCUGACGGUACCUUAUGAAUAAGCACCGGCUAUCUCCGUGCCAGCCGCCGCAGUAACAC
rnacentral:rRNA from 1 species